GGAGGGGGAGCCAAUCCCUUAAAAACCGAUCGUAGUCCGGAUCGCAGUCUGCAACUCGACUGCGUGAAGUCGGAAUCGCUAGUAAUCGCGAAUCAGCCAUGUCGCGGUGAAUACGUUCCCGGGUCUUGUACACACCGCCCGUCACACCAUGGAAGUUGAUUGCACCAGAAGUAGGUAGCCUAACCGCAAGGAGGGCGCUUACCACGGUGUGCUCAAUGACUGGGGUGAAGUCGUAACAAGGUAGCCGUAA
rnacentral:rRNA from 1 species